AUUUGUCGUGGCUUAACCCAUAUGCCACAACCAAAAGACGUGGGAUGAUCGAGCUUUCCUCCCACUAGAGAAGUGCAGAGUGAGGGAGACGCAAAUCACUCAUCUAAUCCCAUUACACCUCAUCUGAUCCCACUACCAUGAAGUGGGGGACGGGAUGCGCAAGGCUAGGAAAGCAUGACCAAACCCACGAACUCCAAACGCUAUAAAAACC
rnacentral:lncRNA from 1 species